GAUGAAGAACGUAGCGAAAUGCGAUAAGUAAUGUGAAUUGCAGAAUUCCGUGAAUCAUCGAAUCUUUGAACGCACAUUUCGCCCUCUGGUAUUCCGGGGGGCAUGCCUGUCCGAGCGUCAUUUGCAACCCUCAAGCCCGGCUUGUGUGAUGGGUGCCGUCCCCUACGGGACGCGCCCCGAAGGCAAUGGCGGCGUCGCGGUUAUCCGAUCAGCCAAAGUGUAUGGGGCUUUGUCACUCACUUUACGGCCCGGACCGGCGCCAGUCCGAAUCAAUCUUUUUUCUAAAGUUGACCUCGGAUCAGGUAGGGAUACCCGCUGAACUUAAGCAUAUCAAUAAGCGGAGGA
rnacentral:misc_RNA from 1 species